rnacentral:rRNA from 1 species
AUGCUAUGUGUGUGGUAUGAUAGACUCGUGGAAGCAUAUUUUGAUCGAAUGCAGCAUGGGCGAUGUGUGUGGGCUCUGGUGGAUCCGGAGCUACUAGAGCAUAUGAUUGAAACAAGGGAGCCAACAACACGCGCUUGGCUUUUCUCGAUGAUGGAGGUGCUAAAUCAUGACGAGAUGACACGGAUGGGUGUUACGCUUUGGGUAGUCUGGUAUGCGCGAAGAAAGUUUAUACAUGAGGGACUAAACCAGAGUCCACGGUCGACACACCUUUUUGUGACCAGAUUCAUAGCUGAACUUGAUCAGUUACAGGAGCCAUCAGCCUCACAUGCAAUUAUGAACACUGAUGCAACUAGCUCUGCGUGGGUUCUG